UAUGAGAGUUUGAUCCUGGCUCAGGACGAACGCUGGCGGCGUGCCUAAUACAUGCAAGUCGAACGCUUCUUUUUCCACCGGAGCUUGCUCCACCGGAAAAAGAGGAGUGGCGAACGGGUGAGUAACACGUGGGUAACCUGCCCAUCAGAAGGGGAUAACACUUGGAAACAGGUGCUAAUACCGUAUAACAAUCGAAACCGCAUGGUUUUGAUUUGAAAGGCGCUUUCGGGUGUCGCUGAUGGAUGGACCCGCGGUGCAUUAGCUAGUUGGUGAGGUAACGGCUCACCAAGGCCACGAUGCAUAGCCGACCUGAGAGGGUGAUCGGCCACAUUGGGACUGAGACACGGCCCAAACUCCUACGGGAGGCAGCAGUAGGGAAUCUUCGGCAAUGGACGAAAGUCUGACCGAGCAACGCCGCGUGAGUGAAGAAGGUUUUCGGAUCGUAAAACUCUGUUGUUAGAGAAGAACAAGGAUGAGAGUAACUGUUCAUCCCUUGACGGUAUCUAACCAGAAAGCCACGGCUAACUACGUGCCAGCAGCCGCGGUAAUACGUAGGUGGCAAGCGUUGUCCGGAUUUAUUGGGCGUAAAGCGAGCGCAGGCGGUUUCUUAAGUCUGAUGUGAAAGCCCCCGGCUCAACCGGGGAGGGUCAUUGGAAACUGGGAGACUUGAGUGCAGAAGAGGAGAGUGGAAUUCCAUGUGUAGCGGUGAAAUGCGUAGAUAUAUGGAGGAACACCAGUGGCGAAGGCGGCUCUCUGGUCUGUAACUGACGCUGAGGCUCGAAAGCGUGGGGAGCAAACAGGAUUAGAUACCCUGGUAGUCCACGCCGUAAACGAUGAGUGCUAAGUGUUGGAGGGUUUCCGCCCUUCAGUGCUGCAGCUAACGCAUUAAGCACUCCGCCUGGGGAGUACGACCGCAAGGUUGAAACUCAAAGGAAUUGACGGGGGCCCGCACAAGCGGUGGAGCAUGUGGUUUAAUUCGAAGCAACGCGAAGAACCUUACCAGGUCUUGACAUCCUUUGACCACUCUAGAGAUAGAGCUUCCCCUUCGGGGGCAAAGUGACAGGUGGUGCAUGGUUGUCGUCAGCUCGUGUCGUGAGAUGUUGGGUUAAGUCCCGCAACGAGCGCAACCCUUAUUGUUAGUUGCCAUCAUUCAGUUGGGCACUCUAGCAAGACUGCCGGUGACAAACCGGAGGAAGGUGGGGAUGACGUCAAAUCAUCAUGCCCCUUAUGACCUGGGCUACACACGUGCUACAAUGGGAAGUACAACGAGUCGCGAAGUCGCGAGGCUAAGCUAAUCUCUUAAAGCUUCUCUCAGUUCGGAUUGCAGGCUGCAACUCGCCUGCAUGAAGCCGGAAUCGCUAGUAAUCGCGGAUCAGCACGCCGCGGUGAAUACGUUCCCGGGCCUUGUACACACCGCCCGUCACACCACGAGAGUUUGUAACUUACCGAAGCUGUGGAGUACACCUUUAGGUGUAUUGGUAGGAGAGCGUUCUAAGGGCGUCGAAGGAGUCGUAACAAGGUAGCCGUAUCGGAAGGUGCGGCUGGAUCACCUCCUUU
rnacentral:rRNA from 1 species